CGAAACAUGAACCUAUCACGAACAAAAUUCUGAUGAAUGAAAAUAGAAUAAGAAAUUGACAAGUUCUGUUUAUUUUUAUGGUUAAAGUUUAAAGUGUGUUAAUCAUUUGGCACAAAAGCUCUUAUACCACCUUCCACUUCUAAUUUGCAAGCCUUUCGCCGCCUUCUACGAGCCCCUAUAUUCUCCCUCCUUUUUAUAUUUUUUCCUUCUGCUCUCUACAUCUGUAUAUUUUCAAGAAACAGGCUUCUCGCUCAAAAUCAAGUGUGGCUAGCUGGUGAAGAUUGUACUUUUUUCACAAGAAAAAAAAAUCUGCAUAAGACAUUUGGAUUAGCAAAAUUUUUGGUGGGUUCAAGAAAAAUCAUCAUUGGCCGCAGUGAGAAAGGGAUUUCAUAGAGAAAAUCUUGGAAGAUUUUUGGGUAUUGGAAAAAAAUUCAGGAUCAAAGUUUGCAUCUUUGGGAGUUGCAAACUAAUUACUGUUGACAGCUUGUCCUUUCUUUGAGCUAAUCAAAGAGGUGUUCAUCUGUACGUCGGUUAGUGCUGUACUGAUGUCAUUAAUUUGAGUUCAUCUGGACCGUGAUAGGAGUUGUUUCAUCGGUGGAUCUAGGAAAACACACAGUAUCAUGUCCUAAUAGUACGCAUCUUUGCAGAGUUUGAGCAAUUCUAGGUUUCAAUUGUAUGAAUUUUCCAUCAUGCCCCUCUCCGAGUUUCUGAGAAUGGCUAGGGGGAAUCUUGUUUCCGGUGAUCUGAACAAAUGCCAAAAUGAUGUAGCUUCUCGAGUUGAGAAUGAGUUGGUUGAGCUAGUUUGGGAGAAUGGUCAGAUUUUGAUGCAUGGUCAGUCUAGUAGAGGUACAAAAGACUCUUCAAUUCACAAUUUACAAUCUCACUUGCCAAGAGUUCAAGAUGCAGGUAUAGGAAAUUCCUCCACAUCAAGGAUAGGAAAAUUUAGUGGAGUUGAAUCUAUCUUGAAUGAUAUUUCACCUAUGGUGCCCUUGGGAGAAUUGGAUGUAAGUCAAGAUGAUGAAAUAGUUCCUUGGUUAAAUUAUCCCAUAGAUGAUGGUAUGCCGCAGGAGUACUGUUCUGAACUCUUACCUGAAAUAUCUGGUGUUACGGCUAAUGGAAUGUCUGCCCAAUCGAGCUUUGAAACUAACAAGAGAAGUAGUUUUGACCAGUCAGAAAAUAUUUUGCAUAAUGAUGGGAAUGCAUCGAAGGUUUCUUCUUCUAGAGCUCACCUUUCGGGUCCAUGGCUUUCUCAGCAAGGCCAGACAUCAGAUCCAUCCCUGGGAUCUGGAGUUUCAGAUAUUAUUAGCAAUAAUACAAAUAACAUUCCAGAUGCUAUUAUUGGAAAUUCAGCCCGAGGUCAAGCAAUUGGAAAUGAUGACAGUGUAAAGAUGGAGAGACGGAAUGUAGAGAUUCCCAGUAGUGGUUCAAAUUUGUUGAACUUUUCCCAUUUCUCAAGACCGGCUGCUCUUAUCAGAGCUAAUUUUCCAAACACUGAUGGAAUGCCUAUUUCAGGGUCAUCAGGUGUGAAAAUGAUGGAAACUAACGAGAAAUGUUCUGCUGCCAAUAAUGGCAAUCCUGUCAAAUCCACACUCAUUAAACGGUUGAAUAGUACAGAAAAGGAUAUUGACUUCCAUUUUCCAUCUACUAAUGUAUGCAACAAACUCAAUUCAAGACCAUUAGCAUCCAAGCCACCUAAGGAGGCGGUUCCUGCCGAACAAACUGAGGGUUUACACCGAGAAACUUUUGUUAAAUUCCACAAGUCCCUGAUUCGAAGUGAUGCUCCCAAUGCAAGUAAUGGAGUUCCAGAUAGUGAGAAAACUGUUGAGCCUGUGGUUGCUUCUUCUUCUGUAGGCUCCGGCAACUAUGCUGAUAGAGCUUCAUGCGAUCAGAUGCAUAAUUGCAAGAGAAAAUUCCAUGACAUUGAGGAGUCUGAUUGCCAUAGUGAUGAUAUUGAAACUGAGUCAAUCAAUUUUAAAAAAGCAACUUCUGCUCGAGGAGGUACCGGUUCCAAGAGAAGUCGAGCUGCAGAAGUGCACAAUCUUUCUGAAAGAAGGCGAAGGGAUAGGAUCAAUGAAAAAAUGCGUGCAUUACAAGAACUUUUACCCAACUGCAAUAAGGCAGAUAAAGCUUCAAUGCUCGAUGAAGCCAUUGAAUAUCUCAAGACCCUUCAACUUCAGGUACAGAUUAUGUCAAUGGGAGCCGGGUUGUGUAUGUCACCAAUGAUGUUUCCCACAGGAAUGCAACACAUACAUCCUGCUCACAUGCCUCAUUUCUCUCCCAUGGGUGUUGGAAUGGGAAUGGGUUUUGGGAUGGGUAUGCUAGACAUGAAUGGUGGAACUCCCAGAUAUCCUAUUUUUCCAGUACCUCCCAUACAAGGAUCACAUUUCUCUUCUCCAAUGCCAGGGUCCUCAAAUUUUCCAAGAACUGCUGGUUCUAACAGCCAGGUAUUUGGGCAUCCCAGUCAUGGACUUCCUGGCUCAGUCCCACUGGCACCCUUGGUUCCUUUACCUGGUCGCCCUCUAAGUUCUGCCGUGGGUUUAAAUACCUCAGUGGCUGGAGGUCGUAUGAAUGUGCCUUGUAUAUCUGUGACCACGAACUCUGAGGAUCCAGUUAGAAACAAGAAUUCACAGCUGAUGCACAGUGCUGAAGCUAGCAGCACAAUGAACCAUACAUCUAAUCAGAUGGACCAACCUGAAGCAGCUGCAACCAACAAAUGAGGUUCUACAUAAGCCUGGCGAGGUGCAAGAGAAUAAGCUAGGACCAAAUGUUAGCAUGAGCACAGAUGCUACCAAUGCAACUGUUAUUAGCACAAACGACGGUUGUGAUUAACGACGAGAAAUAUUAUUGAUGCCAUGGAAGGGAUUCCUCCUGAUACACGGUAGCUCUUAGUUCUGUGCCAGAAAUCUUAUGGCUAUAGUUAUGAAAAGACGGCUUUUAUAGAACAUUGAACGAGGUGAAAUUAUAACAAUAACCUUUUUAAUUCUGAAUUUGAACUCCAGGACUGUAAACAACAAAAUGCACAGGUUUUUUCUAUUUUGAAGAGAAACUGUUAUCCGCCCCUUUAAAUAUGUAUAUUAUUCAACAUGACUCCUGCGGUUGUAUCAGUGAUAGAAGAGUCUACUUUGCAGAUGUAUUCAUUUAUGUAUCAGCAAUUUUAACACAGUUUUCAGAUUUUAUA